CUUUCUUCUUGCUCCUCUUGAUUCAACUUUGACACCACAACAGAAAACAAGCAAUAAUAACAGGCUCAGCUCAGCCUGCCUGACACAGGUUCAGCGCACUGCUCUUUGUGAGAACUUUGACCCAGCCAAGAGCAGCUGGUGCCAAACCAGUCCCUCCCUCUGUGCUAAAUCACUCUGCCUUCAUGGCAGAAGAUCAGCUUCUGCUCUCCGGAUCAGCAGGGUGAAUCUGGAGCAAGCCCUUUACCAGGGGGAUAUCUCUUGGUUUGCAUCAGAAACUAUCAGAACAUGAGCAAAGAGGAUCCCAGUCAGGCUCGACACAUCAGGUGCAGCUCAUGCUGCAGUGAGACAAACAGACAGCACCGCUGCUGGCUCCUGAGUGCUCCCGGGAGAGCUGUUUCCACACCAGCCUGGAAAUUGCCUGCUCUUUGCUCAUUUAUUCAAGUGUGCUCCUGUCUGGACGGAGAUGAUCCUGACUGUGCAGUGGGGACUGGGCCCUGGAAAUGCCAUAGACCUGCUGGCAGAGGGUGCCAGGAGUCUGUAACUGCAGGAAGAAUUACGGGAUGUGGCUGCAGGGACAGGUCACUGUACCAGGGCGAAGGCUCUUGUCAGGAACUUGUCUUGCUCCACAGCACUGAGGUGACCCUCGCAAGCCUGGUCUUUCUGCCUCUUUGCACUGCUGGAAUCAUGUGUUAGCCCUCUGGAAUGGGUUUGGUCUACAAACAGGUCUUUCUUCCUGUCUUUCUUUCUGAGUACCUCAAAAUAUGUCUGUAGGAAAGUGCUGGCAUUGAGGGAGCAGAGAGAGGCUCAAAACCAUCCAGGGCAGAGCAGGGCCCCAAACCUCUGGGUCUUGCCCAUCUCUCUGGGCGAGCUGCUCCAGAGCUGCUCUUUCAGGGUUUCUUGCCCGCCCAUAUGAAGUAGCUAAAGAUUGUCCUUGGCAGAGCCCAAACCAGCCGUGGGGACCCUGGAUGUGACCCCUGAGCCAGCCCAGCCACCUCCAGCUAAGAGGUGGCAUGGAUGUCCCAGAGUACUGCAGGAAGUCGCGUGGUCCCCUAAGCAAUGCCAGCUGUCUUGACCAUUCUCAGCUCACAGCCUCGGUCCAUCAAACUCUAAUAGCUAUGUAAAAGGGGGGCAUAAGCCCUGGCAAGGUGCUGGCUGGGAUUCAGGGUAGAGACACAUUAAUUAUGGGAAGUCUGAUAAGCCCUGUCUGUGUGACACUUCCCAUAACAUCCCCUGAACGCAAUGAUGGCUAUGGUGCCAGCCCGCAUACCAAACGCCUCUGUUCUCGCUGGGCACUUAACGGCGAGUAUCACCAGAGUUUUUACCAGCAGCUGGGAGCUGCCCAAGGAGGUGUCAGGCCCAUGCCUACAAUCUUGUUCCUGCUCUCAAAAGAAAUUGAGAGCACACAGAGGAAAGCAAAUGAAAGGCCACCAAGCUGAGCAAUGCCCCUGUUGCCCCAAUGCAUGUGGGAUCUCUGUUGCUAAUGAAAUGCUGUUUGCUCCCACUCAUGCUCAGUCUGUCCUGACUGUUUAAAAGGAGGACACGGUAACACUAAAGUCCCUAAUGCAGUUGGGCUCCAACCCAGCAGUUCUUCUAAGAUGAGCAUGUGUUAGAGCAUUUGUUAAUGCUAGGGCUGGGAGGAGGUGGAGGGGGUCCAGACCAAGCUGAUGA
rnacentral:lncRNA from 1 species